GGGGAAUAUUGCACAAUGGGCGAAAGCCUGAUGCAGCAACGCCGCGUGAGUGAUGAAGGUCUUCGGAUUGUAAAGCUCUGUCUUUGGGGACGAUAAUGACGGUACCCAAGGAGGAAGCCACGGCUAACUACGUGCCAGCAGCCGCGGUAAUACGUAGGUGGCGAGCGUUGUCCGGAUUUACUGGGCGUAAAGGAUGCGUAGGCGGAUGUUUAAGUCAGAUGUGAAAAUCCCGAGCUUAACUUGGGAACUGCAUUUGAAACUGGAUAUCUAGAGUGCGGGAGAGGAGAAUGGAAUUCCUAGUGUAGCGGUGAAAUGCGUAGAGAUUAGGAAGAACACCAGUGGCGAAGGCGAUUCUCUGGACCGUAACUGACGCUGAGGCAUGAAAGCGUGGGUAGCAAAC
rnacentral:rRNA from 1 species